UGCAGUCGAGCGGACAGAAGGGAGCUUGCUCCCGGAUGUUAGCGGCGGACGGGUGAGUAACACGUGGGUAACCUGCCUGUAAGACUGGGAUAACUCCGGGAAACCGGAGCUAAUACCGGAUAGUUCCUUGAACCGCAUGGUUCAAGGAUGAAAGACGGUUUCCGCUGUCACUUACAGAUGGACCCGCGGCGCAUUAGCUAGUUGGUGAGGUAACGGCUCACCAAGGCCACGAUGCGUAGCCAACCUGAGAGGGUGAUCGGCCACACUGGGACUGAGACACGGCCCAGACUCCUACGGGAGGCAGCAGUAGGGAAUCUUCCGCAAUGGACGAAAGUCUGACGGAGCAACGCCGCGUGAGUGAUGAAGGUUUUCGGAUCGUAAAGCUCUGUUGUUAGGGAAGAACAAGUGCAAGAGUAACUGCUUGCACCUUGACGGUACCUAACCCAAAGCCACGGCUAACUACGUGCCAGCAGCCGCGGUAAUACGUAGGUGGCAAGCGUUGUCCGGAAUUAUUGGGCGUAAAGGGCUCGCAGGCGGUUUCUUAAGUCUGAUGUGAAAGCCCCGGCUCAACCGGGGAGGGUCAUUGGAAACUGGGAAACUUGAGUGCAGAAAGGAUAGUGGAAUUCCACGUGUACGGUGAAUGCGUAGAGAGUGGAGGAACACCGUGGCGAAGGCGACUCUCUGGUCUGUAACUGACGCUAGAGCGAAGCGUGGGGAGCGACAGGAUUAGAUACCUGGUAGUCCACGCCGUAACGAUGAUGCUAGUGUUAGGGGUUUCGCCCUUAUGCUGCAGCUACGCAUUACCACUCGCCUGGGAUACGUCCAGACGAACUCAAGGAUUGACGGGCCGCACAGCGUGGACAUUGGUUAUUCAAACACGAAAGACCUACAGUCUGACUCUCUGACACCUAGAGAAGGCUUCCUUCGGACGAUGAAGUGUGCUGGUCUCUCAGUCUGUCGGAAGUGGUAAGUCCGCACAUC
rnacentral:rRNA from 1 species